GACGAACGCUGGCGGCGUGCUUAACACAUGCAAGUCGAACGGAAAGGCCCUGCUUUUGGGGGACGCUCGUGUGGCGAACGGGAGUGACACACGGGAGUAACCUGCCCUUGAUUUGGGGAUAACUUCAGAAAACUGGGUCAUAUACCGGAUAAGCCCUCCUGCGUGAUGUUGUUGGUUAGAAAGUUUUGUGGGUUGAGGGUUGGCUGGCGGCCUACCAGCUUGUUGGGGGGGUAAUUGCCUACCAAGGCUGUGGUGGGUAGCCGGGCUGGGAGGGUGGACGGGCAAAUUGGGACCGAGAUACGGCCCAGACUCCCACGGGGAGCAGCAGGUGGGAAUAGUGGACAAUGGGCGGAAGCCUGAUGCAGCGACGCCGCGUGGGGGAUGACGGCCUUCGGGUUGGAAAACCGUUUCGCCAGGGACGAAGCCUUUUGUGACGGUACUGAGAUAAGAAGCACCGGCUAACUACGUG
rnacentral:rRNA from 1 species